rnacentral:rRNA from 1 species
CUAUCAGAUGAGCCUAGGUCGGAUUAGCUAGUUGGGUGGGGUAAUGGCUCACCAAGGCGACGAUCCGUAACUGGUCUGAGAGGAUGAUCAGUCACACUGGAACUGAGACACGGUCCAGACUCCUACGGGAGGCAGCAGUGGGGAAUAUUGGACAAUGGGCGAAAGCCUGAUCCAGCCAUGCCGCGUGUGUGAAGAAGGUCUUCGGAUUGUAAAGCACUUUAAGUUGGGAGGAAGGGCAUUAACCUAAUACGUUAGUGUUUUGACGUUACCGACAGAAUAAGCACCGGCUAACUCUGUGCCAGCAGCCGCGGUAAUACAGAGGGUGCAAGCGUUAAUCGGAAUUACUGGGCGUAAAGCGCGCGUAGGUGGUUUGUUAAGUUGGAUGUGAAAGCCCCGGGCUCAACCUGGGAACUGCAUUCAAAACUGACAAGCUAGAGUAUGGUAGAGGGUGGUGGAAUUUCCUGUGUAGCGGUGAAAUGCGUAGAUAUAGGAAGGAACACCAGUGGCGAAGGCGACCACCUGGACUGAUACUGACACUGAGGUGCGAAAGCGUGGGGAGCAGCAAACAGGAUUAGAUACCCUGGUAGUCCAGCCGUAAACGAUGUCAACUAGCCGUUGGGAGCCUUGAGCUCUUAGUGGCGCAGCUAACGCAUUAAGUUGACCGCCUGGGAGACG